CAAAUAUCCAAAUCAGUAUUAAAUAGAGCAACAACAAUCAGCCAAAGUAAAUUAUUAAAGAACCCAUGGCAAACUCCGAUCAGAUCUAAAAAAAAUCAAUCAAGAACAAGCAUAAUAAAAUAUUACUGUCAAGCAUCACAAGUAAACAAAGGCACUAACCCACAACAAACAGUAUUCGAAGCAACAAUAUGAAGAACGAACAAAGAGGAAAAGAAAAUCGCCUAAGACUGAAACAAAAAAUGAGGUAACCGGCGUCGCUUCAACGGAAUUUAUUUGGAGCAACGCAGGAACUUAGAUUCCGGCAAGAUCUGGAACUUAAAGAAAUAAAGAAAGGAUGGGUCACUGGUGUUGCCUCAACGUGUUUCACCGGAGCAACACCGGAGAGGCGUGGAUCCGAUAGGAUCUAUACAUUUUCUAGCGAGCAGUAGCGACAAGAAGAAAUAAUAAAUAAAAAAGUGAAAGGGGCGACAGUUGGACAUUGUUGGGUGGUCGCCGGAAUUGGAAAAAAGGAAGGCUGAUUUGGUAUAAUUUGUGAGAGAUAAAGGAGGAAGAAAAUCUAAUUAUGUGUGUAUUUUUUGUGUAUGUUUUUGUGAUAAAGUGUGUUUCUUUUUGGAGAAGUUGUGUGUUGUGUUUAUGUUUUUUUAGAGAGAAAAAUCAUGGAGGGGGUUGGCUUUUUGUUGGUUUAGAGGGGAAGAGAGGCAUUAGAGAAAGAGAAGGGUAAGAGAGAGACAGAGAAGGCUCCCUCUGUGUUUUAAAUUUUUCCUCCCUUUUGUAGAAUGGGAAAAUCUG
rnacentral:lncRNA from 1 species